rnacentral:rRNA from 1 species
GAUGAACGCUGGCGGCGUGCCUAACACAUGCAAGUCGAACGGGAACUCCUAAAUGAAGGUUCGCUGGAUUUUAGGAAAUUCUAGUGGCGGACGGGUGAGUAACGCGUGGGUAACCUGCCCUUAAGAGGGGAAUAACAUUGAGAAAUCAGUGCUAAUACACCAUAUGCUUACGGUGUCGCAUGACACAGUGAGGAAAUGAAUUUCGCUUAAGGAUGGACCCGCGUUUGAUUAGCCAGUUGGCAGGGUAACGGCCUACCAAAGCAACGAUCAAUAGCCGGCCUGAGAGGGUGAACGGCCACAUUGGAACUGAGACACGGUCCAAACUCC